GGGCCAGUGGCGCAAUGGAUAACGUGUCUGACUACGGAUCAGAAGAUUCUAGGUUAGACUCCUGGCUGGCUGG
rnacentral:tRNA from 1 species